GACGAACGCUGGCGGCGUGCUUAACACAUGCAAGUCGAACGGAAAGGCCCUGCUUUUGUGGGGUUCUCGAUUGGCGAACGGGUGAGUAACACGUGAGUAACCUGCCCUUGACUUUGGGAUAACUUCAGGAAACUGGGGCUAAUACCGGAUAGGAGCUCCUGCUGCAUGGUGGGGGUUGGAAAGUUUCGGCGGUUGGGGAUGGACUCGCGGCUUAUCAGCUUGUUGGUGGGGUAGUGGCUUACCAAGGCUUUGACGGGUAGCCGGCCUGAGAGGGUGACCGGCCACAUGGGGACUGAGAUACGGCGCAGACUCCUACGGGAGGCAGCAGUGGGGAGUAUUGCACAAUGGGCGGAAGCCUGAUGCAGCAACGCCGCGUGCGGGAUGACGGCCUUCGGGUUGUAAACCGCUUUCGCCUGUGACGAAGCGUGAGUGACGGUAAUGGGUAAAGAAGCACCGGCUAACUACGUG
rnacentral:rRNA from 1 species